GGGUUGUGAGGUUAAGCGACUAAGCGUACACGGUGGAUGCCCUGGCAGUCAGAGGCGAUGAAGGGCGUGCUAAUCUGCGAUAAGCGCCGGUAAGGUGAUAUGAACCGUUAUAACCGGCGAUACCCGAAUGGGGAAACCCAGUGUGAUUCGUCACACUAUCAUUAACUGAAUCCAUAGGUUAAUGAGGCGAACCGGGGGAACUGAAACAUCUAAGUACCCCGAGGAAAAGAAAUCAACCGAGAUUCCCCCAGUAGCGGCGAGCGAACGGGGAGGAGCCCAGAGCCUGAAUCAGCAUGUGUGUUAGUGGAAGCGUCUGGAAAGGCGCGCGAUACAGGGUGACAGCCCCGUACACAAAAGCGCAUGUGCUGUGAGCUCGAUGAGUAGGGCGGGACACGUGAUAUCCUGUCUGAAUAUGGGGGGACCAUCCUCCAAGGCUAAAUACUCCUGACUGACCGAUAGUGAACCAGUACCGUGAGGGAAAGGCGAAAAGAACCCCGGCGAGGGGAGUGAAAAAGAACCUGAAACCGUGUACGUACAAGCAGUGGGAGCACCCUUUGGGGUGUGACUGCGUACCUUUUGUAUAAUGGGUCAGCGACUUAUAUUCUGUAGCAAGGUUAACCGAAUAGGGGAGCCGGAGGGAAACCGAGUCUUAACCGGGCGUUAAGUUGCAGGGUAUAGACCCGAAACCCGGUGAUCUAGCCAUGGGCAGGUUGAAGGUUGGGUAACACUAACUGGAGGACCGAACCGACUAAUGUUGAAAAAUUAGCGGAUGACCUGUGGCUGGGGGUGAAAGGCCAAUCAAACCGGGAGAUAGCUGGUUCUCCCCGAAAGCUAUUUAGGUAGCGCCUCGUGAAUUCAUCUCCGGGGGUAGAGCACUGUUUCGGCUAGGGGGCCAUCCCGGCUUACCAACCCGAUGCAAACUGCGAAUACCGGAGAAUGUUAUCACGGGAGACACACGGCGGGUGCUAACGUCCGUCGUGAAGAGGGAAACAACCCAGACCGCCAGCUAAGGUCCCAAAGUCAUAGUUAAGUGGGAAACGAUGUGGGAAGGCCCAGACAGCCAGGAUGUUGGCUUAGAAGCAGCCAUCAUUUAAAGAAAGCGUAAUAGCUCACUGGUCGAGUCGGCCUGCGCGGAAGAUGUAACGGGGCUAAAC
rnacentral:rRNA from 1 species